GAGAACAAAACUAUCUAAAUUUCAGAGGACUAUUCAACAGUAGAGCAACAACAGUAGACUUAUUUCAUUUUCAUUUUAGCUGAAAUUUACACACUGAGGUUCAGAGCAUGUACCUGAAAUUUGAAGUGAAGUAAGAAGAAGAGUAAGUCAGGAAUAGCGAUUACAUCAACCAAUGAUAACCCAUAGCUCAAACAACAACAAUUAGGAACAGUUGGGCCAAAAAUCACUUCAGAACCCAGUAACUCAUCACUGAAUACAACACAAAGCCUAAUACCCCUAAAGCUGACCCAAAACAACUUACAAUCACACCAGUAGUACUCAAAAAAUUUCAGCAAUCAAGUCACAAAAGUGAGAGCCAAUAGAACAGUAACUUUGUUGCUAUUUUUUUGAGUUUUUCUAACCUCUACUACAGAUUUGGAAUUUAAAGUGGAGAUAGUAUCUGGAAAUUAAAACUAACUGAAAAUGGAACUAUCAGGGGGAAUUUUUGAGAGAAGACUAAGAUAUCUCGAUGGAACAGUACACUGCUGAUAUUUUUUAAGGCUUUUCUGUAUUUUUCUACUAUUUUUGGAUUUUAUCAUUCGAAAAUCUAAAACUGAAUCUGGACAAAAGAAACAAGAGAAAAUGCUAAUUGGGAGGAACUUUGGGCUAUAAAAAGACCCCCUCAAAAGGCACAUGCAAUGCCUAUUCAUAGGCAACUAAAGGGUGGUGAAUUAGAUUUUUGUUUUAUAUUUUAGUCCCUCUCUCUUUAUUCUUUUGUUCCUUUUAUUUCUAUGUUUUAGAACAAAUGACUCUUAUCUAGAAACUCCUAGGAGUUACACAUUAUUCGUGUGACUAUCAAAUUUCCACAAUGCCCCUGAACGCAACUCAGAUUUACUAAACUGUUUCAAACGACUAAUUCCAAUUAUCUUAAUCAUAUUCUAUCCUACCCCCUCUAUUAAACCCGAUAAGUCAAUUAAUUACACAAGCAACUAAUAAUCUAACUAUUCAGACUAAGCAAUCAAAAAUUAACCCAAGUAAACACUUAUCAUGACGAAUUAAUCUACCAAUUAACUAAUCAAUUAUGAAAUUCAAAACCAACUGGAAUUAAACUCAAGCAAAAAUCCCAAAACUUACACAUGCAACUAAACAGAAGGAAAGAAGAAAUGGACUAAUAAAGAAAAAGAAGGUUAUGAACUCAUUGAUAUACACAGAAACUCCGGCCAGCCAUCGACGUCCAAAUCCUCCAAAACUUCUGACACGUAACAUCUCCAAUCAUCUGUUUUCAUAUGAAAACACAUGGUUAGGGAUAUUACGGUCCUAAAUCACAAAGAUUUUGAGUUAGGGUUUUUUGGCCGAAAAUUGUUAAAUUGCUAUUAGAGCAAAUCCCGGCAGAUUCGAGAGAUGCCACUAUGGGGGUUGGGUGGAGUAUGCCUGGGUGGUUCUAUGGUGUAAACUUGGGAACAUUUGGCGUAAGUAGUGUUCGUUGGAAAAUCAUCCAUGAAAUAUUCAACGGUUUCUAGUGAGAUUCAAAGGAAACUAAGGGUGGGAAUGGGUAGAGGUGAGCAAUGUAAGUUAGUGGUGUAGAUUUGGUAGUCAUUGGCAUAAGUGGUGUUCACCGCCGAUGGCAGCUCCAGCGGUGUUACAAUCUCUAGUACGAGGAAGAUGAGGUUAAGUAUUACAGUUGAUGACUAGAUUCGGACAGUUUU
rnacentral:lncRNA from 1 species